CAUCACACCAAAUUUUAAACUCAAAACAUUCUCUCUCUCUAGCCCACCUCACCUCCGGCGACCCCCACCCCACCUCUGGCAACUUUUCCGACGACUGCUUCGACUCCAGCGAACAAUUUCGGCGACCCACACCCCACCUCUGACGGCCGCUCCGACGGCCUCUUUCGUGAAUAUUCCGGCGACCUCCCCGACGACGUCCGUUCCAGUGACUAUUCCGAUGACCGCUCACUUCUCCGGCAGCCUACCUUUUUUUCUUCUUUUUGGGUAUUGACCUGUGACCAGUUCCAUUAGAUCUAUGACCUAUGCAAAUUGUGAUUUGUGAGGUCUAUUGAAUCUGUGACCUAAUCAGGCUGUGGCUAGUAACAUACAAUGUGACCUACUGAAUUGUGAACUCAAACCUGUAACCAGAACGGCGAAUUGUGAUCCGUAACGUAUGAAUUGUGACCUUAUGUGUUCAUGACCAAAUUUUUCUGCAUUGUGAUUGUCUGUGACCAUGUUAGUCUAAUUUGUGAUCAUAUGUGACCAAGUCACAUACAGUCACGGUUAAUACAAAUCUGGUCACAGACGGUCACAAUGAAGAUAGAUUCGGUCACUCACCACCAUUCCUAACACCGGAUUCACAAUCUGUAUCGCCAUCGUCCAUACAAGCAACGAUUUCCAUCCACCACAGAUUAAGCCAUCUACUACCAUACACAAAACAUCAGAUUGCAGAGGAAGAUCCAAUUGCAGCAACCAAAUAUGUUGAAAAAUUAGUACAACAACUAAUUAAUCCAAUUGUAGUAACCAAAUAUUACAAAGUAGAACAAGGCCACCAGUUAUGUUAAAAAAGACCAAAAAGUGCAAAAUUUAAAUGCAUACUUCGAACAUUUUGCAGGCCAAGUUUAUAGCAUUUUACUCGAGGUCCUGUUGUUCUGCACCAGAAAAUGUGCUCAUUUAAAUCAUUAAAGCCUGCCUAGAAAUCUAUUAUUAUAUAAAAACACCUCUUCUGGAAAAGAUUUGGCAUUCUCCUUUUACUUUGUUCCAUCUACAACAAUAUUUAUUACACACUGGUACAAGAGGAAAUACCAAAAACACAUUUUCCAGAAACUAAAAGACCUUUUUCCUAAUAUCAAGACCUUUAAUCAAUUAAGGUGCAUCACCUUUUUCCUAAACACAUUUUCCAGAAACUAAACACGUUGACCAUUGCGCCGGACUGUCAAAGGCCACUUCAGGCGACGGUGGCACGGUGCAAUGUCAUCCCCAACAAACAGAGAACGAAGGAUGGAGAAGGGAAGGGGGAGAGCUUGGUGGCGACAGUCUGGUGGUGGUUGUGCUUUCCGGUGGUAGGUGGUCGGAAUCUAGAGAAUAGGGUGGAGAAGAAGCAGUCUAUUUGAUUUUUGGGAAAGAGAGUGCCGAUUAGAUUUUUGGGGAAGAGAGAAAGUCUGUAGGUUAGACAUAAAUCGA
rnacentral:lncRNA from 1 species